rnacentral:rRNA from 1 species
UUUAUGGAGAGUUUGAUCCUGGCUCAGGACGAACGCUGGCGGCGUGCCUAAUACAUGCAAGUCGAGCGGACCUCAUAAGAGCUUGCUCUUAUGAGGUUAGCGGCGGACGGGUGAGUAACACGUGGGCAACCUGCCCUGUAGACUGGGAUAACUUCGGGAAACCGGAGCUAAUACCGGAUAAUCAAUGACACCACAUGGUGUCAUUGUAAAAGUUGGGAUACUAACACUACAGGAUGGGCCCGCGGCGCAUUAGCUAGUUGGUGAGGUAACGGCUCACCAAGGCGACGAUGCGUAGCCGACCUGAGAGGGUGA